rnacentral:rRNA from 1 species
GACGAACGCUGGCGGCGUGCAUCACACAUGCAAGUGGAGCGACGAACCGGGCUUCGGCCCGGGGCAGAGCCGCGAACGGGUGAGUAACACGUGGGUAACCUGCCCUGAUGAUCGGGACAACCCGAGGAAACUCGGGCUAAUACCGGAUGUGCCCUUUGACCAAAAGGUCGCUGGGGAAAGGAAGCUUCGGCCUCCGCAUCGGGAUGGGCCCGCGGCGCAUUAGCUUGUUGGUGAGGUAACGGCUCACCAAGGCGACGAUGCGUAGCUGGUCUGAGAG